rnacentral:rRNA from 1 species
GGAAUAUUGGGCAAUGGCCGAAAGGCUGACCCAGCAACGCCGCGUGAGGGAUGAAGCUCUAAGGAGUGUAAACCUCUUUCGUAAGGGAAGAAUUCAUUCAAGGUGAACAAUCUUGAGUGUUUACGGUACCUUUUAAAGAAGCCACGGCUAACUCCGUGCCAGCAGCCGCGGUAAUACGGGGGGGGCAAGCGUUGUCCGGAAUUAUUGGGCGUAAAGGGCGCGUAGGCGGAAUGGUAAGUCAGGGGUGAAAACCCAGAGCUCAACUCUGUGGCCUGCCUUUGAUACUGCUGUUCUUGAGUGCGAGAGAGGAAAGUGGAAUUCCCGGUGUAGCGGUGAAAUGCGUAGAUAUCGGGAAGAACACCGGUAGCGAAGGCGGCUUUCUGGCUCGCAACUGACGCUGAGGCGCGAAAGCGUGGGGAGCAAAC